GGAUGGGAAGAAAGCAGUAACCAGCAAGCGCCUACUGGGGACCAGGCAUGUGAUUUCAGACAAUCAAUGUUUAUUGUCAUCAGCAUGCCCUUUGGUCAGGCAUGAUGCUAGUUGCUGGGGUUAACGGCAAGAAAGUCCUGGUCUUUGCCCUGAAGAAGCUCACAGUCUAGUGGGGAAGAAAGAAGUUGAACAAGUAAUUCCAAGGGGGCAACAUGAGCAGCACUGCAGGCAUGAGGCAGAAGUCUCUUAGCAUCCCCAGGAAAUAACUUAUCCUUGUUUAGAAGAUGGGCCACCCAAGGCUCAGAGAGAUCAUUGAAGCAAGCAAGAGUGUCGUCAGGGAGUGAACAUCAGACAUCUCCUUCCCAAGCCUGUGUUCCUUCUACCAGCUAAGUGAAGGGUCUGCCAUGUGCAUGUUGCCAGCUGAAGUAGUCCAAAGUCCAAACUCUGAAGCCUGGAGUCUGAAAUCCGGGGUCAGGAAUCUGAAGUCUGAAGUCAGAAGUCUGGUCUGGAGUCUGAAAUCUGAAAUCUGGUCUGGAGUCUGAAGUCUAAAAUCUGAAAUCUGGGUCUGGAGUCUGAAAUCUGGUCUGGAGUCUGAAGUCUGGAGUGAAUCUGAAGUUCGAAGUCUGAUCUGGAGUCUAAAAGUCUCCUGUUGUCUGGAGUGUGGAGUCUGUUGUCUGGAGUGUGGAGUCUGUAGUCUGUCGUGUGGAAUGUGGAGACUGGAGUGUGUUGUCUAGAGUCUGUUGUCUGAAGUGUGCGAUCUGGAGUCUGGAGACUGAAGCUGCAGUCUGAAAGUCUGUUGUGUGGCGUGUGGAGUCUGUUGUCUAAAGUCUGGAGUCUGAGGUCUGAAGUAGUCUGAUUAAA
rnacentral:lncRNA from 1 species